ACAGGUAACUUUUUUACUCCGCUGAAAUGCUAGUGAAACUUAGUUUUCGACUAAAGUCGUUCGUAAUUGGUUAUGAAACCCAUGACGUCAUAACGAUGUCACACCUCUCAGCCAAUAAUGAGUAACUGGAACUGCUUUUGUUUGCGUAAGAAAGUAAGUUAGAGGGCUCAUUAAAAGUAAACAUUACCGUAGAGGAAACACCUCUCCCGACUUAGGAAAAAUUCGAGGUGUGCCAUGAAUCCUGAUGUGAUAUUACUAUACUACUGACUACAGUUUUUUGGAGUUGCACUGAUUAAUGCUUUAGACGAUGACUGGCUCUCUCCGAAGGCUCAAACCGCCAUCCCGUCCACUUCCUUUUUAGACAAGGCGUCUUCUUUCUGAGAAUGAAGGAUUGGCCUUUUGGAAGAUCCACUGCACGUGUUCAUACUUGAUAAAUAAUCCUCCAAGAGCAGCGAGCCAACGGUGAAGCAGUCCAUAGGCUUUUGAGAUGUUUCGAUGAUAGAACGGAUAUAACAUAGAGAAUGGUUGAGAGGCAUGUUGGUUAAUGUCAGAGGACAUCAUUAUUAACAGUAUGGCAAGCAUCUUAUGGUUUCUGGACUCAAGUUCGUCCAUAGAGAGUAUCUGUAGAAGUUACAGCAAUCAGGAGGGAAUCGUAAUCUUGAUUUUCCAGUGACACAGCUUACAGUUUGAAUGAAUUCCAAUUUGUGAUGCUAAGGAAUAUUUAUGGAUCUUCAGUGCGUCUUGAGCAAUAUUUGAGGUAAUGACAUGAAUUUUCUCUGGGUUUUCUUAAUUAUGAUAGAUUCGUCUACAUAACUUCGGCAGCAAUUGAUUAGGCGCUGGAGACUGUUUGACUCAGAUAUUGUGUGGAGAACUAGAAAUAUGAAGUGCCAGUUUAUAUAGCUUCAAGAAGAGUUUCCGAUAUUUUAAUCUUCUCAAACACUUUCUCGCACCUACAAAACAGUGGAGACUGAUAAUUUAGUUCAGCAGUUCAAUCAGGAUUUGAGUGAUGGCUUUAAAUCCAAACUGGGUGUCUGAUGUGGAUUGAAAACCAGGGUUAGAGGUGUGAUUUAUAAUUGAGUAAAUUUGGAUUGGGCCUCUUAUAUCAAUUGGUGUGGUACGUACAGUUGGCAAAGUGAAACAAUAUGUUAUCAGUGUAGUUACUUACUUCCCAUUAGGAGUCAUGGUCGUGUAUCCAGUUCUCAGGAUUUAUAGAUUUAGUAUCAGUCAAAAGUAGAUGGUAAUCCCCAGGUUUUAAUUUUCUAAACUUUGCCUCUGCUCUUAGUUGUUUUUCAUUUAAUUAACCAUGCCUCAAAGCUGGUUUAACUGGGUCCUUGCAUGUCUGAUUAAUAUUGUAGUGUGGACUACGUAUUCGAUACGUAUUUUUUUAAUUACUGGUUGUGUCAUGCAUAUUUCUGUAGGGUAUUUUCCCUUAAGUCAGGUAGUAUUAUUGACUACCAAGAAACUGUGAGCUUAGAUGGUUGAGAGGAAAGGGUGAAAACUGGGAUUCAAGUGAGUGCUUGAAGUAAAUUUGUCUUAUCAGUAUAAUUUUAGUUAUGUGUUAUAAAUGUAAAACUAUGCCUUAGACUUUGAUUGGAUGGUAGUUAAAGUUGGGAUAUUCAGCUGGCCUAGUUGAAGUAAUUGAAGUGAAUAACUAGUUAAAAAUCAGAAACCAAAUAGUAAACUUAACUGGCCUUUUUUAAAACAGACAUAAAUAGAUUACAAACUCUCAGUUUCAACUACACUUGAGGAAUUGGUAGUGCUGCAGUAAUUACAAGAUUAGUAUGGCGAACUUUGGGGAUCAGUCAUUGCCUUGUUUGCUGGUCUAUGGAUGAAAAUUGGGAAACAGUACCGUAUUUAUCUGUGGGUUGGUAAAAGUUGUUUGUAAUUGUGGCAUGUCAGCAAUCGGUUGGGUGUAGUAUUUUUUUUAGUUUAAGCUGACUAUGCAUAUCAAGUUUAAAUUGAAGGGUUGAUUGAUGUUCCUUCAAAAGGAAAUUUGAGGUUACAUGGAAGCAUUGCAAAAAGCAGAUUUGUUAUAAAAAAAAAAAAAAAAAAAAAAAAAAAAAACCUUUCACUUCAUGACAGCCUAUGUGGUAGGUGUCAUUUCCAGAUAGUCCACAGAAGUCUCCUUUUCCACCUAUCUGAGUUUACAUCCAUCUCCAUGCACCUCUGUUGGUGAAAACUGUAUAAUCCCUCUCUGUUGGUCAGUCAACAACCACCAGAAUUCUUGACUAAAAAAUAUUAUGAACCUCCAAAACCUUGUGACAUAAAAGGCCCUGUGAAAUUGUGGGUCUUCCAACUUGUCUGGGUGGUGUGAAGAUAUGUCCAAACUAUCUUAAUAUCUCCUCUACAUAUGGAACUUGUGUAAUUUCCCAAAUGGUAUUUCUCCUCUUAUCCUAUCCUCUGACUCUUAGUAUUCUUCUGAAAACUUAUUCUUGAAUUGACAAAAUAUUUGAUAUAGGUUGUGUCAUUAAUUAUGAUUACUUUCAUGUGCAGUUUCAGUCUAUUUGAUUUCCAAAUCUUAUUUUGCAUACCCUCUAUUUAAUAUCUUUUUAGUUUCACUAAAUUUUAAUCUCGAAAACAGUAUAUUUGAUGCCUUUAUUCUUAAGCAUUUGAGACUCUGCCACAAUCUUUUUGCUAUGUAGUUAUGAAUUUCAUCCCUCUGUGCACGGACUCUCCCUAUUAUUUUUUUUUUAAUUUAUCAUAAGUCCCUUCACUUGAGAUUUAUAAUGCAAUCGUUUGCGAGUUCUUAAAUUUUGUAGCAUUUUGCUAAUUCAAUCAGCAUCAUCUGGGUAAUCUAAACAUUGGCAAAUGUCUUUCUUAUCAAUAAAUGCCAUUGGAAGGAGAGUGCUAAGAUUCAUACACUGCUGCUCAGUAUGUCACAUCACAAAUAUUUAAUGUUCAACUUAUUUUCUAAAGCCAGCUUAUUCUUUAAGCAUAUCUGUUUUUUCUCUGAAAUGUUAAAAAUGACCAAGCUGAAUAUUUUCAACACAACCAAUGUAAGUGUUGUGCUUGUAGAGCACAUCCAGUUACAUCAUCUUUCUUUGGUGUUUUUGCUGAUUCUCAAUUACCAGGCAUGAGGCUUUGUUUACAAUUUUCCAUUUCAUAACCCCUGACUUCAUUUGUUAAUAAAGGUAAUUUUCAGGUUCUGCUAUAUCAGUUAAAUGAAUGUCCAUUUUUAUAAAUUUAUUACAAUAUUUGCUGAAAAAAACCUCGACUUCGUCUCUUAAUAAAUCCAGGUAAUUUUUAGCUUCUGCUAUAUUAGUUAUAUGAUUGUAGCACAUUCCCUUUGGGCUCAGUUGCUGUCUUUUACCUUUCUAGGUAUUUUUUCAAAGAUCAGGCAAUGAGCUCCUAAAAGACAUGCAGAACCUUCCACAGUUAUUGGCAAUUGUCAGGCUAUAAGGUUGAUUUCUUUGCUCAUUUCUGCAGUUUACCUAUUCCUGUGCAAGUUCCUAAACAUCUGUCAAGGGAAGGCAUUUAGUCUCUUCAACCUGUAAUUCUCCAAAGCACACUUAAAUUAUUGAAACGCUAUGCCAACCUUGUAAGAAUUGCUGCAUUUCUUGUUAGUGUACAAACUAGCUAACCUUAAUAUUUGUAAACUGCAUGCUCACUUCCAUUAAGGGAAGAAGGCCACUUCAGUAUAAGGCAUGCAAUAUUAAAAAACUGUCAAUGAUUGCUGGAAACUACUGUAUCAGAAGGUAAAACCUUAAUAUCAUAGCAGUUUAACCAGACCACUUUGCUCAGAAACUGAUUAUUGCUUAGGUAGGAAAGUUAUCUACAAAAAUAAUUUAAACAUGAUUUUUGUGGUAAAACGUAAAGGUCAGUUAUUUAAAAUUUUAAUUUAAAACAUUUAUUACAAAUUUUAUAACAUUUUAUCACAUAUACAAUAUUUUUGCUGUCAAUAUGAAAGUCACUGAGACUGGGCUUAUUAUUAUACUAAGAUAAACCUGUUGCUUUUCCUAGUUUCGAUGGAAAUAACACCUAACAGUCUUUCAGAUUUACAGCAACCUAGUUAUAGUAGAACAUUUGAUAGAAGUCAUGUCUAAGAAACAUUCCAUACUGUGACAUGAAGUAAAUGUAUGGCACUUUCAAGUAGACAAAAUAUUUUUAUAUAAUUGUUUAGAGAAGGUACAGUUUUCUGACUAAAGUUACAGUAUGAAGUCUUAACUUUAAAAUGGAUAACACAAAUGAUAACAAAAGCAUAAUACAGUUCAAAGAAUAUUCGAAAUAACAAAGGGAGCAAUGCACUGAACAAGGAAAAUUGUUUUGUAAGACCAUUUACUGGGCUUAUUGAUUAGAAUACGAUUUAACAAAAGAUGCAUGUUGUAUGGUGCUAAAACUGAAAAGUUUGUCACAGUGAUGUGUUGUUUGAUCACUGAAUGUUUUAUAUAGUUUUACUAUGAAUUAAUUACCAUUGUGCACUCUUAUUAAUCUGAAUGUUUUUACUGUCUUGCCAUGAGCAAGUCCAGUAAACAUACUGGUCUAAGGAGGAGGUUUGGAAAGUGAACCAACGUUGCAACAUUUAUCCUCCUCAUUGUAUGAAUAGUGUUUAAUAUUUUCCAAAAUACUAUAUUAUGAACAAUCUUUUAAGACAAGAUGUAAAAUUAUAAUAAUAUUAGCACUACAAGCAGAAUAAAGAAAA